rnacentral:RNase_P_RNA from 1 species
UUAAGCCUGCUGGAUAACGCCCAGUGCGAGUGAUCGUGAGGAUAGUGCCACAGAAAAAUACCGCCAAAGUAGAUUAAKUAUUAUUGUUUAGUCACUUCAGGUAAGGGUGCAAAGGUGCGGUAAGAGCGCACCAGCAGUGUCGUGAGAUACUGGYUCGGUAAACCCCGGCGGGGAGCAAGGUCGAAGGAACAAUGGUUGGUA